rnacentral:lncRNA from 1 species
UCACUUGCACUGUGAAGAUUAAAAUAGUUAAUUGAUUGCAGCUAGAACACAGCCUGCGCAUCAGUGCUCAGUGAAUGCUCCUAUUGUGGGGAUGAAUAUUAUUUAAGGGAUACAAAGAGAAGGCCAGGACUCUGUUUUCAUGCAUCUCACAGUCUAGGAGAGAUCAUUUCUGGCCAAGAGUUAAAGAAUGUUUCGGGAAUCACAGGAUAUGUGGCAUUUGAGCUGGAUCUGGAACGUGGGUGGGAUCUGGUGGGUGUAAAUGGAGAUGAAGCCCAGCUGCGGGGAAUCGAGGAGUCCUAGGGCUGGAGCUGGGGAAGGUGCGUGCAUCUGAGUGGCCGGAAAGUUGUCAGAAAGGCAGAUUCCCUGGGUUCACCCCCAGAGGGUCCCAUUCAGGUGUGGAAUGGGGCCAGGAACAUACAAUUCUAAGCAGUUCUUCAGGGGACCCUGGUGCAGGGGGUGUUCAGAUGAGAUUUGGGGGUUGCUUGCCAGGUUGGAGGAGGUAGAGUUAGGAAGCAUCAGGCUCAGAUGAGUCAAGGCCUCAUACGGUCUUGAAUCAGAGUGAAGGUGGGAAUGGGAACAGAAGUGCCAGAGAGAGAAAAUAGCUUCAACCCCCAAACUUAGGAUGAUUAUUCAGCCAUAAAAAGGAAUGAUGUAUUGAUACGUACUACAACACAGAUAAACCUUGUAAACAUUAUGCUAAGUGAAAAAGCCCAUCACAAAAGGCCAUAUAUUGUAUAAUUCAGUUUAUAAUAAACUAUCCAGAGCACGGAAAUCCAUAGAGACAGAAAGCUGAUUAGUGGUUGCCAGUGGGUGGGGGAAAGGAAAAUAGGGCAUGGCCAGUUAGUUAAUGAGAACCAUGUUUCUUUGGGGGAUGAUUAAAAUAUUCUGGAAGUAGGCCGGGAGUGGUGGUUCACACCUGUAAUCCCAGCACUUUGGGAGGCUGAAGUAGACAGAUCACUUGAGGCCAGGAGUUCAAGACCAGCCUGGCCAACAUGGUGAAACCCCGUCUCUACUAAAAAUACAAAAAUUAGCUAGGUGUGGUGGCAGGUGCCUAUAAUCCUGGCUACUUGGGAGGCUGAAGUGGGAGAAUCACUUGAAUCUGGGAAACAGAGGCUGUAAUGAACUGAGAUCAUGCCACUGCAUUCCAGCCUGAGUGACAGAGCGAGC